rnacentral:lncRNA from 1 species
AGACUUCAUCAUCUGAGGUUGUAACAUCUGAAGUCCAACAUCUUCUGAGCGCUUGUGAACUUCUGAAUUCACAUCCUCUGAGCUUCACUCAGAGCUUAUCUGAUGCUUAUAUCUGCGCACUUAAAAUAAAUUUUUAGUCCUUCCAAUUGUUUAUUAAUACUUUGUUAUCAUCAAAACCUUUAUAGAUUUAGGGGCAAACAUUUUUAAAUCAAUUUUGUUCCAACA